ACUAACAUAUCCAAUUGACCUGAUAGAUUCUUUUACAUUUCCAACGAAUGCAGCUCUCUGCCAUUUGUGUUACCAUUAGCAGAAGGUACAUGCUUGAAGAAGCUAUUAAGCGGAUCCAUGGUACAAUUCAUGCAUUCGAGCUCACUGAUGAUAAUGACGACACAGUAAUGGCAUUAGUGAAAAUUGAUCUCCAGCCCCACAGCCAAAGCAUGUUGCCAACCCAACAGCUGUUCUUUGGAGAAUCAACUUGGUUUGCCAACGAUGCUAUCGAAUCAACAUGUUCUGCUGCUUUGGCCUAUCUGGUAACCAUGGGCAUCAUCACAAUAGACAAUUCCAACUCGACAAGCCUCAAGAAAUGCCAAAGGGAGCUCAAAGCUGAGCAGUUCUGGUCAUCAGUGCUAUUUGUGCGGGCAGAAUCCUUUCAAAAACAGCUCGCCUCUUUGACCGCGACAAAGGAAGGGCCUCAUUCAGAAAGUGACGAUGAUAACACUCCAGCACCCAAAUGUGUAAACGAAUUAGAGGAUGGCCUGAACGACGCCACCAGCUCGCUUCCACCAACCGAAGAAGCAUCCGACAAGUAACAUGCCCUCCCUCUUGCUCUUCAGAAUCGUGCAGCUAUAUGCGUUACUCAUGUUUGUUGUUUUCCCAGUGAACCGGAUCACAGGCCCAGCAAGAAAACAAAGUCUCAGUCAAAGACUAAAUGGACAGGUCAAAUGAUACAUAGACGGAGAUCACGCUGGAAUUUUGCCCUCUGUCUAUGCCUCAAGUAUCGAUGAUACCUCCGUGCACUAUAACUACCCUGUCCUCUUUAUUCUAUUUAUUCAACAAAUGAUGGAUUAGACGAGGUUAUUCAGACUCAAUCUGUACAACAAUGGAGUAUUCAUGCAGUCUUUUAUUUAAGCUUUGAAAUGAGUGCAUUGGAUGCUGGCUUUGAGCAUUUGGCUUGCAUGUUUUUUCUUGCUGUCAUAUUAUCUAUAUACAACUUUUCCUGAAUGAGUACCACUCUAUAUGACUUUUUCUGUGCUUGCAAAUUUUUAUGGGUAUGAACUCCAACAAACAAACAAAUGCUACUGGAGACUGGAUAAUAAUGUUCAAAGAAUUUCUGUUAUGAACGAUGAAAACAUUAAACCCCAACCACUAUGAACAAUUGCAGCGCCAAUGGUCCACCAAGCAUAGAGCCUAUCAGAUGAAUCUCUCCCUGCCUGCCUUCCUUCCUAAUAGCAUUGUAAAUAUUCUAUCGUAAGCUUCUUCGAAUGCUAUAUAUCAUGAAUAAUUCAUGUGUACCAAUCUGCCCCUAAAUAUAUUUAUGUUCACUCUUUACAUACUUGCCUUACUCUCGCUCCUUGCGCCAUCGGCGCAACGGUCAUCUAGUAAACAGAAAAAGUCAAA